rnacentral:rRNA from 1 species
GUUAUAGUCUUAAAAAAUUAAAAAAUUUGGCGGUAUUUUAGUCUUUUCAGAGGAACUUGUCCUAUAAUUGAUAACCCACGAUUAGAAUUACUUAUAUUUUUAUUUGUAUAUCAUCGUAAUUUGAAUAUUUUAUAAGAAUUUAAAUAUUCAAAAUUUAAAAUUAUAAUAAAAAUCAGAUCAGGGUGCAGUAUAUAUAAGUAGAGAUGAGUUACAAUAAAUUUAUUUUUGGAUUAGUUGAUUUAAUUUGAUUAAGAAAUUGGAUUUGAAAGUAAUAUUAUUUAUAUUAAUAAUAUGAUUUUAGCUCUAAAAUAUGCACACAUCGCCCGUCGCUCUAA